AGAGAGACAGAACAGGUGGUAGUAUACCUGGGUUGAAGAGAGAGAGAGAACAGAACAGGUGGUAGUAUACCUGGGUUGAAGAGAGACAGAACAGAACAGGUGGUAGUAUACCUGGGUUGAAGAGAGACAAAGUUUUACUCUUAUCAUCGUUAUACAUGAGUACAUGAAGCGACAGUGAGACUUUCUAAAUGAAUAGUAUAUUUGAAUAAGAAAUAAUAGUAUAUUUGAAUAUAUCUGAAUAUGAAUGAAUAGUAUAUUUGAAUAUGAAUGUAUAGUAUAUUUGAAUAUAUUUGAUUAUGAAUGAAUAGUAUAUUUGAAUAUGAAUGAAUAGUAUAUUUGAAUAUAUAUGAAUAUCAUAUUUGAAUAUGACGUAUUGAAUUCUGUCUGUAAUGUUUCUCUCUGUAAUCAGGGUGACUCCAGGAUUCUGUUUGUGUACGUGUCUGAAAGAGUGAAACACAAAUCGCACAACUUAUGUUCAAAAGUAUGUUCAACAUGUAAGGAUUAAUGGCAUUGUAUCAUUUGUUAGUUUGUUUGUUUACGUGUGAGUGCGAAUGUAUGCCUCAAUAUUUGUCUGCUUUGAUACUAGCCGGCAUCUGGACUAUAUGUAGAUAUGUAAAUGAUAUCGUCAUACAGAGAGAGGGUAGUUCCAUACAGAGAGAGGGUAGUCCCUCCAAAUGUAGACAUGUUAACGAUAUCGUCAUACAGAGAGAGGGUAGUUCCAUACAGAGAGAGGGUAGUUCCUCCGGAUGUAGACAUGUUAACGAUAUCGUCAUACAGAGAGAGGGUAGUCCUCCGGAUGUAGACAUGUUAACGAUAUCGUCAUACAGAGAGAGGGUAGUCCUCCGGAUGUAGAUAUGUUAACGAUAUCAUCAUACAGAGAGAGGGUAGUUCCUCUGGAUGUAGACAUGUUAACGAUAUCGUCAUACAGAGAGAGGGUAGUUCCAUACAGAGAGAGGGUAGUUCCUCCGGAUGUAGAUAUGUUAACGAUAUCGUCAUACAGAGAGAGGGUAGUUUCAUACAGAGAGAGGGUAGUUUCAUACAGAGAGAGGGUAGUUCCAUACAGAGAGAGGGUAGUUCCAUACAGAGAGAGGGUAGUUUCAUACAGAGAGAGGGUAGUUUCAUACAGAGAGAGGGUAGUUCCAUACAGAGAGAGGGUAGUUCCAUACAGAGAGAGGGUAGUUCCAUACAGAGAGAGGGUAGUUCCAUACAGAGAGAGGGUAGUUCCAUACAGAGAGAGGGUAGUUCCUCCGGAUGUAGACAUGUUAACGAUAUCGUCAUACAGAGAGAGGGUAGUUCCAUACAGAGAGAGGGUAGUUCCUCCGGAUGUAGAUAUGUUAACGAUAUCGUCAUACAGAGAGAGGGUAGUUCCAUACAGAGAGAGGGUAGUUCCAUACAGAGAGAGGGUAGUUCCUCCGGAUGUAGACAUGUUAACGACAUGGCGUGUGUUGACCACCCUACCACGGGUAGUAACACCACCGUUUUACGUUUACUGUGGGUUAUUUACAACAACAUACCGGCUGGACCAAUCAUCUAUCUUUGUUAUAACAGUUCCUUAAAUUUCCUUAAAUCGUUGAUGAAUAUCUAUAUAUAUAUAUAUAUAUGUCUAAAUACAGUGUGUAAUUGAUUCUCUACAUGAAUGUGUCUCUGUAAUCAUGCUCUGAAAUAUGCCUUUGGUGUGUUGUUGUUUUGGGAUUGAACUACCCUUCUACUACUCAUGAAGAGAAGCAAUGGAUGGAAUUUCUUACUGAUGAACGGCAAUUAUAUUUACGUGCAAAAAAAAAUGUAUUGUAGGAAAUUUUAUUAAAACUGUUAAAUAAAA